GAGGAAUCGGUCUGAUGAUGACGUGCAUCGGGACGUUGUGAACCUCCUCGACGGUGUCCGAGUGAAUCGACCUGCUGACGCUGUUUUUACCGUCCGCCGCACCGUCCUGAGACGACGCCACCGACAUGUUUCUACGGGGGAUUUCAAAGAGCCAGCCAGGUUGCUGUGGUUACAAAAAAAAAGGACGUCUGAGCCCGCAGCAUUGCACAGAACUCACAAUAGUGCAGUGAUGCAAGGGAACAUGACACGCUCAGCUGCGUUAAGGAAGGUUGCAAUUUUACAGUGAGGAUGAGCGUCAGAUAAUAGCUCAUCAGAGAAGUCUCCUGUAUAAGAAGAUGCAUGCUAGAGCCCCUCUUAAAUAAAGUAGUCUCACUGAUUAAACCUCCCUUUCUUCAUUUAUGGUAUGUCAGUUGUCUGCGGCUCAGCCUGUCUCCAUGUUUGCUUAAUGACUCUGCUCUGUGAGUGCUGGCAUUACAAAUCAAACAGACAUGUUUCAACUCUAAACCUUAAUAAAUAUCUUUUAUUUCUCCAGACUUUUUAUUAUAGCAAGGGUUUUGUAUUUUUUAAUGUAAGUGUUUAAAAAAACAAACAAAAAACUACUGUAUUAAUUACAGUUAAUUUUGCUGCAAACAAAUUCAUUUUUGGUUUUCGUACAAAAUGAACUUACACAGCUGCUUUCAUCCUGUGGGAUUUCAUGCGACUUCUUCAAGCAGGUUUAAGCAUGAUGCAGCAAAGCACAAAGCACCACAAGUGUUUUAAAUGUCCCCAACUGUACAGAGCAUGAUUUCAGGGAGAUAUAUUUUAUUGGCAUCGUUCAUGUCUUUCCUUUCCCUCUGAAGCAGCCCAGUGCCAAAGGAGCUAAAAGGCUUGCUGGCAGCUAAAUGCAUCCAAACAGAACUCAAUACAUUCUUAUGUUGUGAAUCUCAGGAGCUUAAUAAAUAUUAAAUACAUUUUACCUCAAGGGUUGAUAUUCUAUAGGUUGAACAUAUGAGUGCAAAUAUAAAAUGUGGGGAAAUUCCUUCCCUGAGAGAAAUAGUGCAUAACUGCAGAAAAAAGCCAUUCCUAAACACUGUGUGCAGCAAACGGUGGAAAUUAGUUAUUGACUGCUUUUUAAUGAAAUUCAAAGUUUAGAACUGCUCAAUAGGCUAUCAUAUGUAAAAUAGUGCAGCUGUUAGAACAGUGCUGGAGAAGACAGAAAUAGUGAGAGGAACAGAUCAAGUAUCUGCGACACACAAUAAUAGGUUAUUGAACACAGUGUGCUUGAGGCCCGAUAAUGUGAGACAUGGCAUCACACACAUUGUUUGUGAAGAGGGUCACCUGCAGCCAGCACGAAACAGAAACAGGCCAUUAAGAAAUCAGUUGAAGUGCUCUCUUACUACAGCGUCUCCAUUCUCAAGGGUUUCUGUUCACACACCCACUUUGUCAAAGACAUGACCAUGACACCCGGGGACAGGGAAACACCAGGCCUGUGCACACAUUAUUAUGCUGCACUGCAUGGGUUCACUGUUUGAAACUACGCAGAUGGUGUUUGUCCGAGAGGGAGAGAGAGCAAAAACGUAAACAAAAUUUAAAAAAAGAACAAAUAUUAUCUAUUUAUCUUUUUUUAAACAAAAUUCUUACAAUUACAAAUUCUGCAGCUUCAACAACUAUAUCCACCUGUUUUACAGUCACACUGUAGACUGUUAUGAAUAUAGCUGAAGGGCCCUCUGCUCUACAUGCGACAUCAUGGCCUUCAUUUUGCUGAGAUUUUUUUCAGCAAAACAAACGGUAUCAGUGUAAGCAGAGUUGUUUACUAUGUUUCAAUUAUCCAAGGUCAGACAUGGAGCUCAUCAUUUAGGACUCGCACUGUAUCAGCCUUUACAGCUCAUAGACUCAUUUCUCUAAUGCAAAGUAAGCAUGUAAUUAAUGGACCCUCUCAGCCACCCCUCUUUGUUGUUCGACAGACACUCAAGUCAAAUGUCUCCACAAUGGGGGGAAAGAAAAUCUGCUGGCGCGGCAGAAGUGCUGAUGUUAGGUAUUUCAGCCUCGCUCAGAAUUCUUUUAUUUUGCUUCUCUUUUUUCUUUGACUCAGCAUGAAAAGGACGAUUCUUUUGUUCAAAUUAAACGCCUAAAGUGCCUCAUCGUUUCUUCUUCUUUUUUAUAUAAUGCUUAUUUUUCAUGGUGUUGAACAAUAGAUUCAGGAACAAUAGAGAGUGACAAUAAUUCUACAAAUGGAUUCUUUAAUUUUAAAAUAAAAUAACAUUACAAGCAACAAAAUAUGCCUGGGAAAUAUAUAAAAAAUUGUUUGUUUUUAUUCCUUGCCAUAAUUCUUUAGUCCUUACCCAGUUAGUUGUUUUUAAUUUAGCAAACUAUUAGAGUUUGCAAACCAAUCCAGACAUUUUUGUUAAUUCCACUAAUCCUGAUCCAAAAUUCACUGAGCCUUGUUGUUGACACGGUCGAAUAACAGGUGGGCAUCAUCACAACAUUUAGCUGUGGACUGCGAAGCCUCUCUCACUGUGUAAAUAUCCUAACAAAUCAUAACAAAGACACACAUAUGGCCCUUUAAACGUGGCCACAAAAUGGAAGCGGCGAGCUUAAAGCAGCCCGUGAAAGUGAAGGUCGCCUCUGGAGCUUACUGUGGCCGGCCCGUGUGUUGACCACAGUGCAGCUAUGUGCCUUUCUUCAUGUUUACUGUACAACCUCUGUCACGUGAUCAGCCUCAUUGCUGCCCCAAGCAUUUUUGUCUCCUUUUUCUCCUUCCCUUUGCUAUCCCUUCAGCCCAGCUCCCCACCUCCCUCCCGGCUGUACUGUACAGUGUGUUGAUGUCUCUUGUGGCGACGAUAGGCCUGCACGGCUGAAACUCUAACCCCUGCUAGUUUUCAAAUGCCCGGAAGGAAGAGAAAGAUGUAGUGGAGCGAUGGGGGUGGGGAGACUGUGCAUGCUCCAUUUGGAUAGGAAGAGGGGGGCAAGGGAGGAUCGGACCGUGAUGGGAACUCAAGGACAAUAACAGCUAAGGACAAAUGUAUCAUUCGAUACUCAUCUCUCAUAUUCAUGAAUUUUUUAGUCCACAUGAUGACCAGAUACAGUCAUCCUGUGUGUGUUCAGCCAACACAGGCUUGGUAUAGUCAUACAAAUACGUAACUGGAGCUUCUCCUGAUUAUACACACGUUUUGUUCCCUAUUUACAUAAGCUAAUCCGUGUCUGUGACCUGAAUUGUGUCUGUCCUUCACUGGAGUCAAAAAACAAAAGUCUGGGAGCAGGGGGGGUGGGGUGCCUCUGAAGAGGAUUAUUUAGGAUAUUGAUGCAAAAAUCAGCUGGUUGCAUGUAACAUCUCACACUAAUUUACACACUACAAGCAUGUUAUUGGCUGAAGCAAAAGAAAAUCUCACCCGACACAAAAACAAAAGAGGAUGCCAUCUGUGCUAAGUGUGAAAAUGUCAGGCAUGCUGAAAUCAGCACCGGAGCUUUCUACAGGCAGGAGUGCUAGCACAUCUUUAACUGGAGCGGGGCAGACUGGAGGCAUGUUA